UUAGUUAUAGUUUAAUAAAAACAUAAAAUUGCAAGUUUUGAGAUCUACAUUGUUACUAAU
rnacentral:tRNA from 1 species